AUUUUAUGGGUAGAGUUGGAAAUCAACAAACACAGUUUGGUUCUUCAAAAUCAUGAAGAGAUUACAGCAGCCAGUUUCCAGUGCAGCGAAAAAACAAACACUGCAAUGGGCUGCUUGGACACGUCAAAAGGAGGAAAGCUUCUUCACUGCAUUGCGGCAAGUUGGCAAGGCAUUUUUUGCUGACAUGGUUUUUGGUUUUUGGAAUUAUUUCUUACGAUAUAUCCUGACAUGACUAUAUGAUGUCUUUUAACAGAAUUUCGACUUUGUCUUGAUG